rnacentral:rRNA from 1 species
AUUGAACGCUGGCGGCAGGCCUAACACAUGCAAGUCGAACGAGUGCCGGACGGGUGAGUAAUGUCUGGGAAACUUCCUGAUGGAGGGGGAUAACUACUGGAAACGGUAGCUAAUAUCGCAUACCAGCAGGUGUGCCCAGAGGGGAGAAGCUUGUUGGUGGGGUAACGGCUCACAAAGGCGACGAUCCCUAGCUGGUCUGAGAGGAUGACCAGCCACACUGGAACUGAGACACGGUCCAGACUCCUACGGGAGGCAGCAGUGGGGAAUAUUGCCCAAUGGGGGAAAGCCUGAUGCAGCCAUGCCGCGUGUAUGAAGAAGGCCUUCGGGUUGUAAAGUACUUUCAGCGGGGAGGCGUUACUCGCAGAAGAAGCACCGGCUAACUCCGUGCCAGCAGCCGCGGUAAUUC